GGGAUUGCCUCASUAACGGCGAGUGAAGCGGCWAGAGCUCAAAUWUGAAAUCUGGCCCCCUCCGGGGUCCGAGUUGUAAUUUGCAGAGGAUGCUUUGGGUGCGGCCCCCGUCUAAGUGCCCUGGAACGGGCCGUCAUAGAGGGUGAGAAUCCCGUCUGGGACGAGGUGUCCGUGCCCGUGUAAAGCUCCUUCGACGAGUCGAGUUGUUUGGGAAUGCAGCUCUAAAUGGGUGGUAAAUUUCAUCUAAAGCUAAAUACUGGCCGGAGACCGAUAGCGCACAAGUAGAGUGAUCGAAAGAUGAAAAGCACUUUGAAAAGAGAGUUAAACAGCACGUGAAAUUGUUGAAAGGGAAGCGCUUGCGACCAGACUCGCCUACGGGGUUCAGCCGGCAUUCGUGCCGGUGUACUUCCCCGUGGGCGGGCCAGCGUCGGUUUGGGCGGUCGGUCAAAGGCCUCCGGAAUGUAUCACCCCCCGGGGUGUCUUAUAGCCGGAGGUGCAAUGCGGCCAGCCUAGACCGAGGAACGCGCUUCGGCUCGGACGCUGGCAUAAUGGUCGUAAGCGACCCGUCUUGAAACACGGACCAAGGAGUCUAACAUCUACGCGAGUGUUCGGGUGUCAAACCCGUACGCGCAGUGAAAGCGAACGGAGGUGGGAACCCCUUGUGGGCGCACCAUCGACCGAUCCUGAAGUCUUCGGAUGGAUUUGAGUAAGAGCGUAGCUGUUGGGACCCGAAAGAUGGUGAACUAUGCCUGAAUAGGGCGAAGCCAGAGGAAACUCUGGUGGAGGCUCGCAGCGGUUCUGACGUGCAAAUCGAUCGUCAAAUUUGGGUAUAGGGGCGAAAGACUAAUCGAACCAUCUGGUAGCUGGUUCCUGCCGAAG
rnacentral:rRNA from 1 species